GGCCUACUGGCCCAAUGGCAAGGCGCUUGACUUCGACUUUGAGAUCAAGAGAUUGCAGGUUCGACCCCUGCGUGGGUCA